rnacentral:rRNA from 1 species
AAUGCCGUCAUCUUAUACUUGGGAGUCAGACUGUGGGUGAUAAGAUUCAUAGUCGAAAGGGCAACAGCCCAGAUCGUCAGCUAAGGUCCCUAAAUGUAAGUUAAGGGGUAAAGGAUGUGGGAUUGCACAGACAACCAGGAUGUUGGCUUAGAAGCAGCCACUCAUUCAAAGAGUGCGUAAUAGCUCACUGGUCGAGUGAUCCU